UGUGUAGGCGGUUCUUUAAGUUUGGUGUGAAAUCUCCCGGCUUAACCGAGAGGGUGCGCCGAAUACUGAGGGACUAGAGUGCGGGAGAGGAAAGUGGAAUUCCUGGUGUAGCGGUGAAAUGCGUAGAUAUCAGGAGGAACACCGGUGGUGUAGACGGCUUUCUGGACCGUAACUGACGCUGAGACACGAAAGCGUGGGUAGCAAACAGGAUUAGAUACCCUGGUAGUCCACGCCCUAAACGAUGCAUAUUUGGUGUGGGUCAUUCAGUUGAUCCGUGCCGGAGCUAACGCGUUAAAUAUGCCGCCUGGGGAGUACAGUCGCAAGGCUGAA
rnacentral:rRNA from 1 species